rnacentral:rRNA from 1 species
UACGUAGGGCGCAAGCGUUGUCCGGAAUUAUUGGACGUAAAGCGCGCGCAGGCGGUUCUUUUAAGUCUGAUGUGAAAGCCCACGGCUCAACCGUGGAGGGUCAUUGGAAACUGGAGAACUUGAGUACAGAAGAGGAAAGCGGAAUUCCACGUGUAGCGGUGAAAUGCGUAGAGAUGUGGAGGAACACCAGUGGCGAAGGCGGCUUUCUGGUCUGUAACUGACGCUGAGGCGCGAAAGCGUGGGGAGCAAACAGG